rnacentral:rRNA from 1 species
GAUGAACGCUGGCGGCGUGCCUAAUACAUGCAAGUCGAGCGAAUGGAUUAAGAGCUUGCUCUUAUGAAGUUAGCGGCGGACGGGUGAGUAACACGUGGGUAACCUGCCCAUAAGACUGGGAUAACUCCGGGAAACCGGGGCUAAUACCGGAUAACAUUUUGAACCGCAUGGUUCGAAAUUGAAAGGCGGCUUCGGCUGUCACUUAUGGAUGGACCCGCGUCGCAUUAGCUAGCUGGUGAGGUAACGGCUCACCAAGGCAACGAUGCGUAGCCGACCUGGGAGCGUGAUCGGCCACACUGGGACUGAGACACGGCCCAGACUCCUACGGGAGGCAGCAGUAGGGAAUCUUCCGCAAUGGACGAAAGUCUGACGGAGCAACGCCGCGUGAGUGAUGAAGGCUUUCGGGUCGUAAAACUCUGUUGUUAGGGAAGAACAAGUGCUAGUUGAAUAAGCUGGCACCUUGACGGUACCUAACCAGAAAGCCACGGCUAACUACGUGCCAGCCGCCGCGGUAA